rnacentral:rRNA from 1 species
AUUGAACGCUGGCGGCAGGCUUAACACAUGCAAGUCGAGCGAGUGGCGGACGGGUUAGUAAUGCAUGGGCAUCGAGCUUGUGGAGGGGGAUCACUACCGGAAACUGUAGCCAAUACCGCGUACCUUAGCAUGAGCCCAAGUGGGAAUAGGUAGUUGGUGAGGUAAAGGCUCACCAAGCCGACGAACUCUAGCUGGUCUGAGAGGAUGACCAGUCACACUGGAACUGAGACACGGUCCAGACUCCUACGGGAGGCAGCAGUGGGGAAUAUUGCGCAAUGGGCGAAAGCUGACGCAGCCAUGCCGCGUGAGUGAAGAAGGCCUUCGGGUUGUAAAGUGCUUUCGGUAGCGAGGCGUUACCUACAGAAGAAGCACCGGCUAACUCCGUGCCAGCAGCCGCGGUAAUUC